rnacentral:rRNA from 1 species
ACCGUGGGAAUCUAGAGCUAAUACAUGCACCGUUACAACUUUGUUGUGUGUACAAGAGGUUAUUCUCUUGCAACUGCAGCAAAGUUAGCAUUUAUUAGUCUAAACCAACUAUUAUAAUACUUACGGGUGUUAUAGUGUGGCUGAAUCUAGAUAACUUUGCUGAUCGUAGUGGCCAUUGAGCCGGCGACAUUUCAGUUGAAUUUCUGCUCUAUCAAUUAGUUGGUAAGGUCGGGGCCUACCAAGGUUGUUACGGGUAACGGGGGAUCAGGGUUCGAUUCCGGAGAGGGAGCCUGAGAAACGGCUACCACAUCCAAGGAAGGCAGCAGGCGCGCAAAUUACCCAAUCCAGAUACUGGGAGGUGGUAACAAGAAUUACCAAGUGAUGGCCCUACGGGUUAUCGAUUUGGAAUGAACGUGAUUUAAGCAAUCCGUUGAGUAACAACUGGAGGGCAAGUCUGGUGCCAGCAGCCGCGGUAAUUCCAGCUCCAGUAGCGUACUUCAAAGUUGCUGCGUUUAAAACGCUCGUAGUUGGAUUACGUAGUUGAAUUGAGUUAAUUAGCAGAUUGGUACGUUAAAACCUUUUAUAUAAAUGUGCUCAUGUUCUAUCAUGAGUGCACUUUAUGUAGGACGGUGUACCACCUGUUGAUUGAUGGCUCAGUUCAAUUUAUUGCAUAUGAGGAUGGUGAUUGACCUUUAGUGUGUUGAUUAUUGUGUCUCAUAGAGUGUGCCUUGAAUAAAUCAGAGUGCUCAAAGCAGGCAGUAUGCUUGAAUGUUUGCAGCAUGGAACGAACAAUUGUGGAAAAGUGAUAUUAUUAUGUUAUGUGUAGGCCUAGUGUUGAAACAUAAUGUAAUGGUAUCAUAACCCCAACCACCAAUAUCGGAGUUGGUUCCGUAUUGGGGUGAUGAUUAAGAGGAGCAGUUGGGGGCAUUGGUAUUUUGCCGCGAGAGGUGAAAUUCUUGGACCGGCAAAGGACUAACAAAUGCGAAGGCAUUUGCCUAGACUGUAUCCAUUAAUCAAGAACGAUAGUGGGAGGUUCGAAGACGAUCAGAUACCGUCCUAGUUCCCACUGUAAACUAUGCCGACUCGGGAUCAGUUUGUUAGCAAUUCAAACGCUCGAAGUUGGUCCCCCUGGGAAACCUGAAGUUUUUCGGUUACGGGGGGAGUAUGGUCGCAAGGCUGAAACUUAAAGGAAUUGACGGAAGGGCACCACCAGGGGUGGAGCCUGCGGCUUAAUUUGACUCAACACGGGGAAACUCACCUGGUCCGGACAUUGAAAGGAUAAUCAGAUUGGAGAUCUUAUUUGAUACGAUGAUUGGUGGUGCAUGGCCGUUCUUAGUUCGUGGAGUGAUCUGUCAGGCUUAUCCCGGUAACGAACGAGAUCACAAUCUUCAUUUGAGAAGCAGCAGUAUUUGUCAGAUUCAGUUAUGUAUGCUUCACAGUGUAUUUACUUGAGUUUGAUAAGCAGGUAGUGUGAAUAUGUAGCUAUUGCAAGUAUGUAUGUGUGAGGGGCAACCCAAUCAUGUGCAUAUGCGGGGUAGUUAUUAUAUCUGCACUCCCUGUUGCCAAGCAGUGUGUGACUCCAUUGUUGCACACUGUCUCAUGAAGAGACAACUGUGAAUAUAAA